UAGGGAAUAUUGGGCAAUGGAGGCAACUCUGACCCAGCCAUGCCGCGUGCAGGAUGAAGGCGCUCAGCGUUGUAAACUGCUUUUAUCCAGGAAGAAUGGUAUCCCUGCGGGGGUAUUUGCCGGUACUGGAGGAAUAAGCACCGGCUAACUCCGUGCCAGCAGCCGCGGUAAUACGGAGGGUGCGAGCGUUGUCCGGAUUUAUUGGGUUUAAAGGGUGCGUAGGUGGCUUCUUAAGUCUGGUUUGAAAGUCGGCGGCUUAACCGUUGGAUGUGGCUGGAAACUGGGGGGCUUGAAUUACUUGGCGGUAGCCGGAAUGGGUCAUGUAGCGGUGAAAUGCAUAGAUAUGACCCGGAACCCCGAUUGCGAAGGCAGGCUACUACGAUUUGAUUGACACUGAGGCACGAGAGCAUGGGUAGCGAACA
rnacentral:rRNA from 1 species